rnacentral:rRNA from 1 species
GAUGAACGCUGGCGGCGUGCCUAAUACAUGCCAGUCGAGCGAACAGACGAGGAGCUUGCUCCUCUGACGUUAGCGGCGGACGGGUGAGUAACACGUGGAUAACCUACCUAUAAGACUGGGAUAACUUCGGGAAACCGGAGCUAAUACCGGAUAAUAUAUUGAACCGCAUGGUUCAAUAGUGAAAGACGGUUUUGCUGUCACUUAUAGAUGGAUCCGCGCCGCAUUAGCUAGUUGGUAAGGUAACGGCUUACCAAGGCAACGAUGCGUAGCCGACCUGAGAGGGUGAUCGGCCACACUGGAACUGAGACACGGUCCAGACUCCUACGGGAGGCAGCAGUAGGGAAUCUUCCGCAAUGGGCGAAAGCCUGACGGAGCAACGCCGCGUGAGUGAUGAAGGUCUUCGGAUCGUAAAACUCUGUUGUUAGGGAAGAACAAAUGUGUAAGUAACUAUGCACGUCUUGACGGUACCUAAUCAGAAAGCCACGGCUAACUACGUG